AUAUCUGUGAACAGUUUUUAUUUUUUUUGUUCCUUUUCUCAUAAUUAUUUGAAAAUUUUCUGAGUCUUCAUACAUUUUAUUUCAGUGCUUUGCUAGUAAUUUUCUAACAACUUAGUGGCAUCAGCAAUUAUUCCUAAAGUUGAAACCAUUUUUCACAAUAAAUGAUAUGAUUGUUCUAAACAGCUACUUCUCCUCCUCAUACGUUCCAGGUAGUAAAGUCAGAAGUGCAGAUGUUUUGUACUAAAUGAAAAGCAUUAAUCAUUUUCUUUUACACACAAUUCAAAUAGCUGUUGCAGUAGUCUCUGUAUGUAGAAAUUGUUGUUUGGCUGGUUUAACUGUUUUAAAACAAAUGGUUCAACCUCAAUGUCAUUUGAUACAUGUCCGGGAUAUUUUGUGUUUCAGUCAAAGGUCUAAAUAAUGUUGAUAUUAUAUCUAAUGUCUCAAAAAACAAUUAUAUUUGGGUUGCACAUAUCAGGAGAAAUAUAUUUGGGUUGCAUUUAAAAAUGCUGCAGAUGUGAGUAUAGGAUGAAAUGUAACCUCAGUGAAUGAUAUUGAAUGAUAUUGAAGACUUAAAUAAUGGAAAAGGGAUGAACUACAGUUAGAGAAAGUACAACAUCCUGUGCUUAUUAACUGUCCACAUGAAUUUUUGAAGUAAAAUGAAAGCUCCUUGACUGUUGUCCAGGACAAGAGGUUGUUAGACCUUGUAGAAUUCCUUAUGGAAUUGUUGUCUGCAUCUCCUGAAAUCUCUUACACGUUUAACUCCUUUGAACUCAUUACUAAGGGCUCUUAAGUUCAAAUUUAAGCUACAGCUCUCACUGGUAAUUAAGUUACAGCUCUCUCUCUCUCUUUCUCAUUAAUAUUAUAUGUCUGGUGGUAAUGUACUUGUUCUGAGAAGUUACAAUAGCGAAUACUGGGAGAAAUCCCUCUUUUUAUUUAACACGUGUUAAUAAAAUAUGUCCAAGUACCCAAAGUUUUCUGGUAUCUUCAUAACUUAUGGGCUAUAUCUGUAUUUAGUUCAGUUAUUUAUUCUGAAGCAAAAAAACAUAUGCUCUUGGUUCUAUCAAAAAGUCAUUCAGCCCAGAAAUCACAGCAGUAGCUGUAAAUGGGUACUUAGGAAAACGUAAAGAUAAUACCUGUCCCAAAAGCCCUUCAAUCCUUUUGCUCUUUUCUGCUCAGAGUCCUGGGUUAAUUGAGAUUUCUAAGCAGUCUGUAAACCAUGGAUUAUAUCUAUUAAAUUCAUUUAGCAAUGGCAUUGAAAUAUGAAGUUACUGUUUUGCCUCCUUUAUCUCAUUGGGUCAUCAGACAUGGCUAACUAGUGUAGUUUAGAAUUGCAGUAUUAUGACAUCAGUGGUAUCCAGGUGCAAGAAUCAGCAAAGCAUAGAAAUUGAGAGAACCUGUUUAUUUAAAGUGAUUUAAAUUAUUUUCCAUGUGAUGGAUAAGGCUUUAGUUCACUUUUUACUCCCUUGAUUAAUGACUACCACCUAAUGUUCUUUCUCAUGUGCUGUUAGAAGAAACACGAAAGAUUCAUAAAAUGAAGUUGACUGUAUCUUCAUUUUGAGAUGUAUUCUGAAUAUUCAUGAACUCAAUCAUUCUGUUCUUCAGAGAAUCACAGGAUGUUUUAUGUUGGAAGGCGCCUCUGAUCCAACACCCACGUUCAAGCAGGACCAACUAGGGCAGGUUACCCAGAAACAUUUCCAGAUGGCUUUUAAAUGUUUCCAGUAAUGGAGACUUCACAAUCUCUCUGCACAACCUAUGCCAGUGCUCACCCAUGCAGUGAAGGAGUUUUUCUGGUUGUUGAAAUUGAAGUUCCUAUGAUCAGUUUGUUCCCUUUACCUCUUGUGUCUCUCGGUAUUAGUGAAAAGAUCUUGACUCCAUCUUUUCUGCACCCUCCAUUCGGGUAUCCAUAGACAUUCAUAAAAUGAUCUUUGAGCCUCCUUUUCUCCAGACUGAGCGGGCUCAGCUCUCUCAGCUUCUCCAUACAGGAGAGAUGCUCCAGUCUCUUCAGAAUUUUUGUAACUCUUCAUUAGACGUUUUCCAGUAUACCCAUGUCUCUCUCAAAACUGAACACAGUGCUCCAAGUGUGGGCUCACCAAUGCUGAGUGGAGGGGAAGGCUUGCCUCCCUCAGCCUGCUUGCCAUACUUUGCAACCUAGUAGGUUUCUUUGCAGCAAGACCACUUUGCUGAUGCAUGUUCAUCUUGAUCUCCACCAGGACCCACCGGGUCUUUUUUGCAAAUCUGUUUUCCAACUGAUUAGCCCCCAGCAUGUACUGGUGCCAGGUUCCUCCUUGGGUGUAGGAAUCUGCAUUUUCCUUUAUUGAUCUGCAUAAGGUUCCUGUCAGCCCAUUUCACUAGCCUGUAUAAGUCCCAACAAAACUCUGAUGUAUUUGUCAGUGCUCCCUAUUGAGUGUCAUUUGUCAGCUCAUUUAUGACCAUCCCGUCAUGAAUGAAGCUGUUAAACAGGGUUGGAACCAGUAUUACCCCCAGCUUUACACCAUUAGUUUUUGGCUUCCAACAAGAUUUUGUGCCAUGCUCUGAGCUGGCCUCACUGUCUGCUCAUAUAGUUCAUACAUCAGCAGUUCUCUCUGAGGAUCCUAAGAGAAGCAACUCAAAGGCCUUACUUGUAGUCCAAGUAGGCAAUACCCGCUGUUAUCCCCUUAUCUAUCAAGCCAUUAAUUUCACUGUAGAAAUUUAUCAAGGUGCUAAGCAUGAAGACUAUGGAAAACCUCUGAGGACGUCUCUGUUAAAUUUGAUAAUGCUGGCUUUUUUUGGAUACAGCUGAAGAUGCUGUGCAUUUCAGAGUCCUUUGAACGAAACAAUUCUUAGGGAGGCUUUUACUCAAAUACUUUCCUUUGCCGCUAGUGUCCCAAAGUGUAAGUCUCUUCUUUUCAUAGUUUUUUUAAAAUUAUUUCCUCUCUAUGUAUAUUUCUAGCCACGUCACAAAUCGUUGUCAGUGAGUUUUCAAGCAGGUGUGGUGAAGAAAUGCAGUUUUAAAAGAGCAAACGGAACUAGAAAUGAUGCACAAACAUUAAGAUUACACCAAAAUAAGAUAUUUGCAUUUUUAUGUGCCUGAAAUCAGUCACUAAGUAUUGUAGAGGUGCCCUGUGCAUGUUAAUAAAUGAAACUAAUUAAAGUCUUCAGAAAUUAUGCUAGAACAGUAUUCAAAUUCUUGCAUAAUUCCAUAAAACCCUCUUAAAAUUCUAUGUGAAUGAUUAUAUAUUAAAUUCAACAAGUCCUUAUCAGAAUAGUUUGACCUUUUUGUAUUAGUCAGCAAGAAAUCUUAUUCCUUUCAGUCUUCAGUUUUUAGUAAAAAGCAGAGAGUUUUAUUGCUGAAAUUUGCUGUUGCCACAUUCAAGGAAAACACUCAACAGUCCAAAUGGAACAGAAAAAAAAUCUGAAAAUUAUUUACACUGCCACACUGAGAUGACUUUUUUUCUUCCUUGCCUUAACCCUUUGGUUUCAUUAUCAGUUCUGAUCACUUAUUCAUUCUAGUCUCUCUGUGUGAUGUUCUCUGUAAGGGAUUUGGGAUAGAAGACUGCAUCUUGUAUAGCAUUAAACUGCGUAAUUCCACCCUUCAUACUGUCUCAAGGUAAAUCAAACAGAAAUGAAUAAAGUCAGUACAAACUA